rnacentral:lncRNA from 1 species
UAUAGAUGGGUACAUAAAACUGCUCAAAAAAAAUUAAAAAACGAAAAAUAUGUUUCACUGAAAUAUUCUAUAAUUUAAGCUGAUCUCCUAUUCUCCCUUCUCGAUCCCCAACCCUCUCCUCCCCAACCCUCUCCUCUCAAAAAUUCUCAUUUCUCCCCAACCCUCUCAUCCCAAAUAAUCCAUUCAACACUGCUAGUCCUCGUCCUCGGCGGUGACGACUGCUAGCUCUUUCCCCACCGC